UCUUAAAAAUUUCACCAAUUUAUACCAUUAAAAACUGGCAUGAUUGAUGAAAAAAUCAGACAAUAAGGCAUGACAUGCCACGUAUACCUCAUGUUAACAUACACUAAUCAGUUUUUAAACAGUAGAAAUUGAUAAAAUUUUUAACA
rfam:Gossypium hirsutum cultivar TM-1 chromosome 7, whole genome shotgun sequence